rnacentral:rRNA from 1 species
GGGGGGGGGGGGGGGGGGGGGGGGGGGGGGGGGGGUGGGGGGGGGGGGCGGUGGGGGGGGGGGGGGGCGGGGGGCGGGGGGCGGACGGGGGGGGGGUGCAUCGGCCUCUGCUUUUUCGUGGGGGAUAACGGAGGGACGCUUACGCUGAUACCGCAUGCGGCCUGCGGGUGACCGCCGGGGAGCUGCGGCCCUUGCGCGAUUGGAGGCGCCGAUGUCGGAUUAGCUAGGUGGCGGGGUAAAGGCCCACCAAGGCGACGAUCCGUAGCUGGUCUGAGAGGAUGAUCAGCCACACUGGAACUGAGACACGGUCCAGACUCCUACGGGAGGCAGCAGUGGGGAAUAUUGGACAAUGGGCGCAAGCCUGAUCCAGCCAUACCGCGUGGGUGAAGAAGGCCUUCGGGUUGUAAAGCCCUUUUGUUGGGAAAGAAAAGCAGCAGGUUAAUACCCCGCUGUUCUGACGGUACCCAAAGAAUAAGCACCGGCUAACUUCGUG